rnacentral:rRNA from 1 species
AGCGAACGCUGGCGGCAGGCCUAACACAUGCAAGUCGAGCGCCGUAGCAAUACGGAGCGGCAGACGGGAGAGUAACACGUGGGAACGUACCCUUUGGUUCGGAACAACCCAGGGAAACUUGGGCUAAUACCGGAUAAGCCCUCACGGGGAAAGAUUCAUCGCCGAAGGAUCGGCCCGCGUCUGAUUAGCUAGUUGGUGGGGUAAUGGCCCACCAAGGCGACGAUCAGUAGCUGGUCUGAGAGGAUGAUCAGCCUCACUGGACUGAGACACGGCCCAGACUCCUACGGGAGGCAGCAGUGGGGAAUAUUGGACAAUGGGCGCAAGCCUGAUCCAGCCAUGCCGCGUGGGUGAUGAAGGCCCUAGGGUUGUAAAGCCCUUUCGGCGGGGAAGAUAAUGACGGUACCCGCAGAAGAAGCCCCGGGUAACUUCGUGCCAGCAGCCGCGGUAAUACGAAGGGGGCUAGCGUUGCUCGGAAUCACUGGGCGUAAAGCGCACGUAGGCGGAUUGUUAAGUCAGGGGUGAAAUCCUGGAGCUCAACUCCAGAACUGCCUUUGAUACUGGCGAUCUUGA